CCACUUAAAAUAGAAAUAUUUUAUUUUAAUAAUAAAAAUAAUUGUCUAUACAUCUUUCAAAAACUUCAAAAAUAUCUUUUUUUUUCCAAUAUAUUCUCGUAUAUUCCUCCGUUAUUUUAAAAUAUUUAUUCAGUUACUAUCCGUUAAAUUAAUUUGAAUUAAAAAUGAGCUAAAUAUUUACUAGAAUUAAACAAAUUUAAAAUAGCUCUUUCGCUCUUAACUUAAGGGCAAAUAAAAAAAGUCGGUGAUGAUCGAAUAGUAUAUUUGAAAGGACAAAAUAGUAAUUCAUUAACAGAAUUUAAUUCUAGAGGUAUAUUUGUAAUAGAUCGGAAUACAAAAAAGAUAUUUUUAAUAUUAGCGCAGUAAGAAGAAUAAAUCAAAAAAUCAAAAACUUUUUAAAAAUAUAUAAACAAUUGCCCCUUAAUAAUAUCUCGGAGAAUAAUGAUAUCAAUAUACUAUUCACUAAUAUCAGAGUUUUGGCUCAAACUGAUCAGAUUCAUUAAUUGCGAUUUGUGUGCUGAAACAUGCAUGAACAUAUAUACAUGGCUCUAUAAAGGAGAGUUGGGGAAACCGCAGGUUGACACCUGUCCGCCGACCCUCCACUUCAUUCUCUCUCUUUCUCUCUCUCUCUCUCACACACACACACACACACACACACAUAUAUAUAUAGAAUUGAGCAUCUAUGCUUUUAAAAGUACCAAGUCAUUGGUGCUUGUAAGUUUUUAGCCCUUGGAUUAAGAAAUGUGCGGUUAAGAUGAUGUGGGCCCUCUAGGGUUAAGUGGGUGGUUGGUUGAAUAGUAUAAUCUAACGGGUGAAAAUGA
rnacentral:lncRNA from 1 species